GUGAAAAUAGAAUCAUGUUUUGUUUUGUAUAAUAAUAAUGUCUAAUAGAAACUGUGGCCAUAGAAGAGCAUAGAAAACAUAUUCAAAGUCAUUUAGAGAAAAGAAAAUUAAAAGAAAGUUUUUCAAACUUGUAUAUAAAACUGAAUUGGCUGUAUGAAUUAAAUUUGAAUACAGUAAAUAAGUAGCAAUACAAAAUCAUGCCGAAUGUAGUACAUCAUUUACACUACAGUAGGGUACCUCUAGCCUAUUUUAGUCUUGUGUGGUUUAUUUUUCAUUCUGGUUCAUCUGUUUGUUUCAGAAUUAAGUGUAUGGCUCUAUUUUGCUGAACUAGUAUACAUUAUUGUUUAGGGGCCAGCUGAAGCCUGUCUCGGGUAGCAGGAUUUUCUUGAUGUGUUGAAGACCCAUUGGUGGUCUUGGUCCGUCUUCUGCCCUUUGGUGCGGUUGUUGUCUCUUUGACACAUUCCCCAUUUCCAUUCUCUAUUCCACGUUUUCAAAACUUAAAGGCAAAUAUAUUUUGCUUCAAAAUUUUAUUUUUCUUAUAAACAAAUCAUUACAAAUUCAUUGUUUUCAAAUGGUUUUUAACAAAUUCAUUGUUUUCAAAUGGUUUUUAACAAAUUUUUAAUAAUUUCACUUACCAAAAGGUACCUCUUUUCAAUUACAAAUGAUGUAUUUACUGAAAAACAUUACAAACCAGAAUCUUAUAUAUCCUUUGUCAUAAGGAAAAUUAUUAUUCUCUUGUUAGAUUUGAGACCUUUUUGUCAAGCCUUUGACUUUUGUCGAAAAAGCGAGACAUAGCGAUCCUACAAUCUGGCGGCGACAUCAGCUUCCACAAAUAUUCACUCUGUGGUUAAAGUUUUUAAAAUUUUAAUAACUUUCUUAAACUAUCCUGGAUAUGUACCAAACUUAGACAGAAGCUUAUUUAUGAUCAAAAGCUAGUAUCUUGAAGGAAAUUUUGUUAAUAUUUUGUACCUGUGUAUCUGUAUUUUACUUAUUGAUGGACUUAGUUUUUCUUUCAUUUAUCCUUACAUACAGUCUGCAGUUAAAGUUUUUAAAACAUUUAUUAGAUCCAUAAACUAUCCAGGAUUUUUACCAAACUUGGACAGAAGCUUCUUACAAUGAAAAGAAAGUAUCGAGAGGAAUAUUUUUUUUAUUUUUUUUAUAUUUUUGUUGAGGCUGUGAUUAACAGCAAAAAUAGGUGAGACACUAGGUUCCACGGAACCAAUUCUAAUUUUUUAUACAUAUGGUUUUCUCUUGGUAUGAAAUAUUUAUUAUUGAUUACAUUGGUUGUUUUGUAAGGUACUGUGGAAUCACUAUUUUUCUAGGGAUACCAAUUUUCUUUGAUUUCAUUGAUAUAGAGAAACCAUGAAUUUAAAUGGUCAACAAAGUAUGAUUGUCUUCUGGUUUAUGCACAAACCUUUGAGUAGCAACGAAAUUAUCUAUCUACGAAAAUAGAAUUAUUCCUCAGCCAUGAAAAUUGGUACCUAGAAAACAAAUUAACCCACAGUAUUUGUUGUUUUUAUUCUCAUUUGAAUUGUUGAUUAAGCUAUAUUUAGUCAAGUGGUUGUAUUUACAUUUUUAUAGUCUUUUGUUUGGGCAUCAACGUCAAUAUUGUGGGUUUACAUUGAACACAAUUUAGCAUUUAUUGAAUAUAUGUAAGGUUUCUUUUAUAAUGUGCUUAACCUCCCAAGAACUUUUUUUAUUGCUUUUUUUUUUUACAAUAUAUGGAUCAAAGAGUUGAAAAAAAAAUACAUAAUUUUCCAAAUUUUUGUUUACUACAUGUGCUAAAUGUUUAUAAUUUAAUAUGAUUGUUUUAAUCAAAUAUGUUGGUGCAAUGAAAGAUACAUGAAACAUACAUUUGGUUGGUGUUUAUCAUUUUAUAGAGUAUUAAAAAAUUAUAUCAGUUUAAUACGUUUGGAAAAGAUUUUGGAAUUAAAGUUUUCUUGUUACACAUGUUUAUUCAGUUGAAUAUUUUUCCACUUUUUCACCAACAUUUUCAUGCCCCACCUAGAAUAGUAGAGGGGCAUUAUGUUUUCUGGUCUGUGCAUCUGUCUGUUCGUUUGUUCGUUCGUCUGUCCUGUUUCAGGUUAAAGUUAUAGGUCGAGGUAGUUUUGGAUGAAGUUGAAGUCUAUCAACCUGAAUCUUAGUAUACAUUGUUCCUAAUGAUAUGAUCUUUCUAAUUUUAAUGCCAAAUUAGAGUUGUGACCCCAAUUUCACGGUCCACUGAACAUAGGAAAUGAAAGUGCGAGUGGGGCAUCCGUGUACUGGGGACACAUUCUUGUUUUAUUAAGUGCUUUAAAUAGACACCUUAGUUUGUAGACGCCAUCAUUAGUUUUCAUGAUAAGGUUCGUCUCACACAUACUAUAUUUAUAAGGUCAACAAUAUUUAGUAUAUUGAAUGACUUUCAGGUGUAAAUGUCUGUCUAACAGGGUUCAUCUGACAUUAGCCACAUUUUCAUGGUAUUGGUUAGCGUUAAAAAUUUAAGAUAAGGUUUGUAUUUCCGAUACUUUAAGUGAAAAGUUAGCUAGAAGAGUUGUCUAGAUUGAUUGGAAGUAUGCAAAUCAAUUGCAGGGUUUAUCUAACCUUGACCUUUUUUCAAAGACAUUUGAUAACGUUAAGGUUCUGUUUUUCUUUAUUUUAAAUUUAGACCUUGAUCUUAAAGACUUUCUACAUAAAAUUAAAUCAUAAUCAGUUAUGCAGGCAGUACACUAUUGUUAUAUCAAAUGCUAGGAGGUAUUAAACAUAUACGUUUUUGUAUGCUUCACUGUUAAGUUUGGUGGCUAUUUUGCUGAAUAAUAUACAUUAUUAUUAAAGGACCAGCUGAAGUAUACCUCCAGGUGCAGGAUUUUCUCCUGAUUUAAGGUGGUACCUAACACUACAGGGAGAUAACUCUGUAAAGUCAGCUAAACGUUUUGAUAACGUUGUGUUGUAAAUGGAAUACAUGUAUUAACUAAGCUUCUCAAUGAUCAAAAUUGGAGUUUGUCAAACUGCUAUAUAACCAGUGUAAUUUUUCUGACAAAACAGUUGGUUCCAAAUUUUUGAAAUUUUUAUAUUUUGGUUUACGGGUCAAAGUAAAUACUUUGUCAAAAUUUUAUAAAAAUUAAACAAGCCAAAUUAAUUUUAGUGAAAGUGUUGGGUUUGUGACCUUAGGCUGUUUUCUGCUUUUUGCUCUGGUUGUUGUCUCAUUGACACAUUCCCUGUUUCCACUCUCUGUUUGAUUUAAAGGCUGUAAGAUAGACUGGUCGUGUUUUGUAUCACAUAGGAUUUGCUUACCUUCAUGAUAAUUUACACAUAUCUCAUAUAUCAAACUCAUAACAUAUCAUCAUAUAAAUAAACUUUUGUCUGGCCUCAAAUAAAUGUAGUGAAGCCUUUAUAAUUAUCACUUUUUAGAAACAUCAUUGCCUGAGUUAAAUGUUGAGUUUUUUUAAUCAAUAUAAUAAGUGCUAAUAGUAGUCCAUCAGGACUAUGACAGUCAAUAUUGUUCAUGAGGGUAUUGACUAUUGUUUGACAGUUUUUUAAAAAAAAAAACAAGCAUGUCUUUGUUGAUGUUGAAUUUAAAGAAUAUUCCUUGAAGCUUAGCGUGUUUGAAAUUCCCUAUACUUAAAGCCAUUAUUACAUGUACAAAGAAAUUUCCAAUUCUUGAAGCUA
rnacentral:lncRNA from 1 species